AUAGCUGAUUGCACCAACAAAUAGUUGAUGCAAUAUUGACUCUGUCAAAUAAAAUUCUAGGUAGAAUUAUGAUAAUGACAUUGUCUGCCUAUAUGUCUUGACCAAAUUACGUGCCAGCAGUCGCGGUAAUACGUAGAAGACUAGUGUUAUUCAUCUUUAAUAGGUUUAAAGGGUACCUAGACGGUAAAUCAAGCCUUCACAGGGACUAAUUUACUAGAGUUACUUACGAGGGGGUAUUAAAGUACUGCAGGUGUAGAGAUGAAAUUCUGUCAUACCUCUUUUCAAAAGAAAAAUUAUGGCACAGGUAUAGGUGAAAGCAUCCCCUUAUGUGAUAACUGACGUUGAAGGACGAAGGCUUUGUGUCGCGAACAGGAUUAGAUACCCCMGUAGUCAAAGCAGAAAAUGAUGAAUGUCAUAGAUUAGAUAAAUAGUUUAUUCUAUAAAUGAAAAUGUAAGCAUUCCACCUCAAGAGUAAUUUGGCAACAUUGGAACUGAAAUCAUUAGACCGUUUCUGAAACCAGUAGUGAAGUAUGUUGUUUAAUUUGAUGAUCCGCAAAAAACCUUACCACAAUUUGAAUAUUUAUAUCCAUCUUUUUUUUUCGUAAAAAAAUAAAAAGGUAAUAUAUUUACAAGCGUUGCACGGCUGUCUUCAGUUAAUGUCGCGAGACUUUGGUUAGUUCCAUUAAAUUAACGUAAACCCUUACUUUAUUUUUAUAUGAAGUAGUUCCCCGCUAUAUUGGAUAUGAUAACAGGGACUAAGACAAGUCAUCAUG
rnacentral:rRNA from 1 species